rnacentral:lncRNA from 1 species
CGAAUGUUCUAAUUGUGAAAUUUGGUUUCACCUUUGAAUCCCUCAUAAAAAUUAGGAUACCAUUAAAAUGUACUGUACUUUAAAAAUAUUUUAAAAUUUAAUUUUAGUCUCCUUAAUAAUAGUAGGAGGCAAAAGUGCUUUGCAGUGAAUCCGGCAAGAUGGCUGAAUAGGAAGAGCUCCAGUCUGCAGCUCCUAGAAAGACCAAUGCAGAAGGCGGGAAGAUUUCUGCAUUUCCAACUGAGUGAAAUUCAUUUCAAGAACAGUCAAUGACGAGAACUUAUGACACAGGUGAGUUUUGGCUAAUCAGUAAUUCCUCUUAAAUACUUCUGCACAUAGCAUUUGAACUAGGCACUGUGUUCAUUUGUUCAUUAUCCUUUUUUUUUUUUUUUUUUUUUUAGACAGUCUCACUCCGUCA